AGUACCUUCUGUGAUAUUCUUA
rnacentral:miRNA from 10 species